rnacentral:rRNA from 1 species
AGUGAACGCUGGCGGUAGGCCUAACACAUGCAAGUCGAACGGCAGCACAGUAAGAGCUUGCUCUUACGGGUGGCGAGUGGCGGACGGGUGAGGAAUACAUCGGAAUCUACUUUUUCGUGGGGGAUAACGUAGGGAAACUUACGCUAAUACCGCAUACGACCUACGGGUGAAAGCAGGGGAUCUUCGGACCUUGCGCGAUUGAAUGAGCCGAUGUCGGAUUAGCUAGUUGGCGGGGUAAAGGCCCACCAAGGCGACGAUCCGUAGCUGGUCUGAGAGGAUGAUACGCACCACUGGAACGGAGACACGGUCCAGACCCCUAGGGGGGGGAGCGGGGGGGAAUAUUGGACAAUGGGCGAAAGCCUGAUCCAGCCAUACCGCGUGGGUGAAGAAGGCCUUCGGGUUGUAAAGCCCUUUUUUUGGGAAAAAAAAGCAGCAGGUUAAUACCCCGCUGUUCUGACGGUACCCAAAGAAUAAGCACCGGCUAACUUCGU